rnacentral:rRNA from 1 species
UACGUAGGGGCCUAGCGUUGUCCGGAAUUAUUGGGCGUAAAGAGCUCGUAGGCGGUUCGGCAAGUCGGAUGUGAAAUCUCCACGCUCAACGUGGAGGGGCCAUUCGAAACUGCCGUGACUCGAGUCCGGUAGGGGAGUGUGGAAUUCCCGGUGUAGUGGUGAAAUGCGUAGAUAUCGGGAGGAACACCAGUGGCGAAGGCGGCUUCCUGGCCUGUUCUUGACGCUGAGGCGCGAAAGCUAGGGGAGCAAACGGG